UACGAAGGGAGCUAGCGUUGUUCGGAAUCACUGGGCGUAAAGCGCACGUAGGCGGAUGUGUCAGUCAGGGGUGAAAUCCCGGAGCUCAACUUCGGAACUGCCCUUGAUACAGCACGUCUUGAGUCCGGAAGAGGUGGGUGGAAUUCCUAGUGUAGAGGUGAACUUCGUAGAUAUUAGGAAGAACACCGGUGGCGAAGGCGGCCCACUGGUCCGGUACUGACGCUGAGGUGCGAAAGCGUGGGGAGCAAACAGG
rnacentral:rRNA from 1 species